AUGUCAAAAUUUGAUGUGACUCUGCAAGAAAAUGCUUACCAUCUGUGGUUGGUAUUUUUCUUCUGCUCCAGCCAUUAAUAUAUAUUUUUACAUACAAAAGUUGUUUCCAGUAAUAAAAAAUCUGUCUGAGAUCUGUCCUAAGCUCAUCCUCAGAGAUCCUUGAUUGUCUGUCUUGCUCCUGCCCAUGUUCUUCCCCAGAACUGGACUCUCACCUGGAACCCAGCCCACGGCUUGGAUCCCACCACCCAGAGUCUCACCCCGUUGUCCAGGCUGGAGUGCAGUGGUGCAAUCUCGGCUCAUUGCAACCUCCGCCUCCUGGCUUCAAGCAAUUCUCCUGCCACAGCCUCCUAAGUAGCUGGGAUUACAGGCGCCCACCACCACACCCAGCUAAUUUUUGUAUUUUUGGUAGAGACAGGGUUUCACCAUGUUGGCCAGGCUGGUCUCAAACUCCUGGCCUCAAGUGAUCUGCCUGCCUUGGCCUCCCAAAGUGUUGGGAUUACAGGCAUGAGCCACCGUGCCUGGCCCUGUGUCCUUUUAAGAAGAGAAACAUUCCAUGUGAAGACAGAGACACACAGGAGGAAUGCCAUGUGAUGACAGAGGCAGAGAUUGGAGUGAAGCAGCUGCAAACUGAAUAUUAAGGAUUGCCAGCCACCACCAGAAGCCAGGAAGAGGCAACCUAAGAUUCUACCCAAAGUCUCAGAGGGAGCGUGGCCCUGCUGACACCUUGAUUUUGGACUUCUAUCCUUCAGAACCGUAUUGUUUUGUGUUUUAAACCACCCAAUUUGUGGUACUUUGUCUCAGGAGCCCUAGGAAAUGAAUACUUCUAAGUCUCUUCCAUACUUUAUCACAUACGAUACAGAUAACAAAACACAUUCUGCAACAGGUUUUCAUUUUUUGUUGCAUUUAUAAUGCUGCACUUUUUUAAAAAUAGAAAAUCAUGUAAAUCUAGACCAUUUUAUGCACCCAUUUUAAGUAUACACACUAGCCUGUUAUAUUGUGAAUUCUGAGAUAAAAGAGAAUGUAAUUUGAAGAGAUUGCAUAUUUUCCAAAGCCAAUUUGGUGAUUUAAGCACGGAAGUAUUAAAAUUAAAUGUUUGAAAAGUUAUCUAUGCAUGUUUUGCUGUAAGACGA